CUUCCUCCUAAUAAAACAAAAAAAACUCAGUCACCAUGGAGGCACUUAUAUGACUGGCAAUGGUAAUUUUGAGGAAGAGAUGACACUGAACAUACUUGUUCCCUGUACGGUUUAUGUUACACUCCUGCCACACAGACUCCACCAUCUGGCUGGCCAACCUGCGAGGGAUUUUACCCCCGUGAAGAGUGUUGUUAGAGCUGUAGCCAUCCGCCGCAGAGGACAACUUGAGCCACCUCUGGGCAGGCUGAUAAUCUGUAAGGGAAGUCUUACCAGUCUGAGCCUCCUCCGGUGACGUUGGAGGAGUCAGAGUGACAGAGGACAUGGCAGGGUCCCUGUGAGCAGCCUGGCCCUGCUGAGCACCACACAGGCUUCCUGAGGUGUUGACCGAGCCCUGAGGGACCACAGGAGGGAGGUCCGACAGGGGGAGAAGCACCAGGCAGGAAGGGUAAACCAUCCUCACUCCCGCUGCAACCAAACAAACACCAUUUAUU